rnacentral:lncRNA from 1 species
ACACAUCUAUGACAGAGGAGGGGGGGCACAUCAUGACAGAGGAGGGGGGGGCACAUCUAUGACAGAGGGAGGGGGGGACAUCUAUGACAGAGGAGGGGACACACAUCUAUGACAGAGGAGGGGUGACACAUCUAUGACAGAGGAGGGGGGCACACAACUAUGACAGAGGGGUGACACAUCUAUGACAGAGGAGGGGGGGGGCACAUCUAUGACAGAGGAGGGGGGGGCACAUCUAUGACGGAGGGGGGGUGACACAUCUAUGACAGGAGGGUGACACAUCUAUGACAGAGGAGGGGGGGCACAUCUAUGACAGAGGAGGGGUGACACAUCUAUGACAGAGGGGUGGACACAUCUAUGACAGAGGAGGGGGGGCAACACAACUAUGACAGAGGAGGGGUGACACAUCUAUAGACAGAGGGGGGGCACAUCUAUGACGGAGGGGGGGUGACACAUCUAUGACAGAGGAGGGGUGUGAACAUCUAUGAAGAGGAGGGGGGUGACACACUAUGACAGAGGACGGGUGACACAUCUAUGACAGGAGGGGGGUGGCACACUAGACAGAGGAGGGGUGACACAUCUAUGACAGAAGAGGGGGGGGGCACACAACUAUGACAGAGGAGGGGUGACACAUCUAUGACAGAGGAGGGGGGUGACACAUCUAUGACAGAGGGGGGGGCACACAACUAUGAGAGGGGUGACACAUCUCAUGACAGAGGGGGGGGGGGGCACAUCUAUGACAGAGGGGGGGGGGGCACAUCUAUGACGGAGGGGGGGGGUGGACACAUCUAUGACAGGAGGGGUGACACAUCUAUGAAAGAGGAGGGGGGGCACAUCUAUGACAGAGGGGGUGACACAUCUAUGACAGAGGGGUGACACAUCUAUGAACAGAGGAGGGGGGGGGCACACAACUUGACAGAGGAGGGGUGACACAUCUAUGACAGAGGGGGGGGCACAUCUAUGACGGUGGAGGGGGGUGACACAUCUAUGACCGAGGGGGGUGUGACAAUCUGACAGAGGAGGGGGGGGCACACCUAUGACAGAGGACGGGGUGACACAUCUAUGACAGGAGGGGGGUGGCACAUCUAUGACAGAGGAGGGGAGUGACACAUCUAUGACAGAAGAGGGGGGGGCACACAACUAUGACAGAGGAGGGGUGGACACCCUCUAUGGACAGAGGGGUGACACAUCUAUGACAGAGGGGGGGGGGGGCAC